UUUUAAUUGGAGGCUUGUAUGAAAGGUCGGACAAAGGAUAAGCUGUCUUUAUUUUUAUUUUUGAAUUUGUCUUUUAAGUGAAAAGACUUAAAUAAAUUUAAGGGACGAUAAGACCCUAUAAAUCUUUAUAUUAAGUUAUUUUUAUAUUAAUUUAUAAUGUAGAUGAAAAUAGAAAUAUAUAAUAUUAUAUUGGGGUGAUAAGAAUAAAAAAUAAACUGUUCUAAUUUAAAAACAAAGUUGUUUGAAAAUAAUAGAUCCUUUUUAAAGAGAAAAAGUUUAAGUUACUUUAGGGAUAACAGCGUUAUUUUUUUUGAGAGUUCAAAUCGAAAAAAAAGUUUGCGACCUCGAUGUUGAAUUAAAAUUUUCUUUAUGGUGUAGCAGUUAUAAGAGAGAGUCUGUUCGACUUUUAAAAUUUUACGUGAUCU
rnacentral:rRNA from 1 species